UACAGAGGUCCCAAGCGUUGUUCGGAUUCAUUGGGCGUAAAGGGUGUGUAGGUGGCGCCGUAAGUCGGGUGUGAAAUUUCGGAGCUUAACUCCGAAACUGCAUUCGAUACUGCGGUGCUUGAGGACUGGAGAGGAGACUGGAAUUCAUGGUGUAGCAGUGAAAUGCGUAGAGAUCAUGAGGAAGACCAGUGGCGAAGGCGGGUCUCUGGACAGUUACUGACACUGAGGCACGAAGGCCAGGGGAGCAAACGGG
rnacentral:rRNA from 1 species